rnacentral:rRNA from 1 species
CCGGGGUGAGUAAUGUAUGGGGAUCUGCCUGAUGGGGGGGGAUAACUACUGGAAACGGUAGCUAAUACCGCAUAAUGUCUGCGGACCAAAGCGGGGGACCUCCGGGCCUCGCGCCAUCAGAUGAACCCAUAUGGGAUUAGCUAGUAGGUAAGGUAACGGCUUACCUAGGCGACGAUCCCUAGCUGGUCUGAGAGGAUGAUCAGCCACACUGGGACUGAGACACGGCCCAG